GAUGAACGCUGGCGGCGUGCCUAAUACAUGCAAGUCGAGCGAACGGACGAGAAGCUUGCUUCUCUGAUGUUAGCAGCGGACGGGUGAGUAACACGUGGAUAACCUACCUAUAAGACUGGGAUAACUUCGGGAAACCGGAGCUAAUACCGGAUAAUAUUUUGAACCGCAUGGUUCAAAAGUGAAAGACGGUCUUGCUGUCACUUAUAGAUGGAUCCGCGCUGCAUUAGCUAGUUGGUAAGGUAACGGCUUACCAAGGCAACGAUGCAUAGCCGACCUGAGAGGGUGAUCGGCCACACUGGAACUGAGACACGGUCCAGACUCCUACGGGAGGCAGCAGUAGGGAAUCUUCCGCAAAGGGCGAAAGCCUGACGGAGCAACGCCGCGUGAGUGAUGAAGGUCUUCGGAUCGUAAAACUCUGUUAUUAGGGAAGAACAUAUGUGUAAGUAACUGUGCACAUCUUGACGGUACCUAAUCAGAAAGCCACGGCUAACUACGUG
rnacentral:rRNA from 1 species